rnacentral:tRNA from 39 species
GUCGUUAGCUCAGUUGGUAGAGCAGUUGACUUUUAAUCAAUUGGUCGCAGGUUCGAAUCCUGCACGACCCACCA